UACGUAGGGGGCAAGCGUUGUCCGGAAUCAUUGGGCGUAAAGAGCGUGUAGGCGGCCCGAUAAGUCCGCCGUGAAAGUCCAGGGCUCAACCCUGGGAUGCCGGUGGAAACUGUCGGGCUAGAGUCCGGAAGAGGCGAGUGGAAUUCCUGGUGUAGCGGUGAAAUGCGCAGAUAUCAGGAGGAACACCAAUGGCGAAGGCAGGUCGCUGGGAAGGUACUGACGCUGAGACGCGAAAGCGUGGGGAGCAAACAGG
rnacentral:rRNA from 1 species